CGCCAUAUCACAUUGAAACAUUGGUUCCCGUAAGAUCACCGAAGUUAAGCAUUCUUAAGCCUGGACAGUACCUAGAUGAGUAACCGCUUGGGAAUACCAGGUGCUGUAAG